GGAGAGGUGGCUGAGUGGUCGAAAGCGACACACUGCUAACGUGUUGGGGUGCAAAAGCCCUCGCAGGUUCGAAUCCUGUCCUCUCCGCCA
rnacentral:tRNA from 1 species